rnacentral:rRNA from 1 species
AACGCUGGCGGCGUAGCCUAACACAUGCAAGUCAACUUGACUGAAGGAGCAAUCUGACAGUAGAGUCGGACGCAAGGGUGCGUAACGCGUAAGUAACUUGCCCAAGGUAAGGAAUAACGUCGAGAAAUCGGCGCUAAUAACCUCAUAAUGCAGCGGAUCCGCAUGGAUAUGUUGUUAAAGGUUUACCGCCUUGGGAUAGGCUUGCGUCUGAUUAGCUAGUUGGUGUGGUAACGGCACACCAAGGCUACGAUCAGUAACUGGUCUGAGAGGAUGAUCAGUCACACUGGAACUGAGACACGGUCCAGACUCCUACGGGAGGCAGCAGUGAGGAAUAUUGGGCAAUGCUCGAAAGAGUGACCCAGCAACGCCGCGUGGAGGAUGAAGGUAUUCUAUAUCGUAAACUCCUGUGAGAGCAGACGAAAGACAGAUUAUUAAUCUGGAUGACUGUAUGCUCAGAGGAAGCCCCGGCUAACUACGUG